rfam:Paramecium tetraurelia chromosome undetermined scaffold_106, whole genome shotgun sequence.
GUCCUAUUAGUGUAAAGGUAACACGUGAGAUUCCGGCUCUCGAGUUCGAGGUUCAAUUCCUCGGUGGGACG